rnacentral:rRNA from 1 species
UACGGAGGGGGCAAGCGUUAUCCGGAUUCACUGGGCUUAAAGGGUGCGUAGGCGGGUAUAUAAGUCAGUGGUGAAAGCUCCGAGCUUAACUUGGAAACUGCCAUUGAUACUGUAUAUCUUGAAUGUCGUAGAGGUUAGCGGAAUGUUGCAUGUAGCGGUGAAAUGCUUAGAUAUGUGACAGAACACCAAUUGCGAAGGCAGCUAACUAUGCGAUAAUUGACGCUGAGGCACGAAAGCGUGGGGAGCAAACAGG